GAUGAACGCUGGCGGCGUGCCUAAUACAUGCAAGUAGAACGCUGAAGGAGGAGCUUGCUCUUCUGGAUGAGUUGCGAACGGGUGAGUAACGCGUAGGUAACCUGCCUGGUAGCGGGGGAUAACUAUUGGAAACGAUAGCUAAUACCGCAUGACAACAGUUAUUGCAUGAUAACUGUUUAAAAGGGGCAACUGCUCCACUACCAGAUGGACCUGCGUUGUAUUAGCUAGUUGGUGAGGUAACGGCUCACCAAGGCGACGAUACAUAGCCGACCUGAGAGGGUGAUCGGCCACACUGGGACUGAGACACGGCCCAGACUCCUACGGGAGGCAGCAGUAGGGAAUCUUCGGCAAUGGACGGAAGUCUGACCGAGCAACGCCGCGUGAGUGAAGAAGGUUUUCGGAUCGUAAAGCUCGGUUGUAAGAGAAGAACGAGUGUGAGAGUGGAAAGUUCACACUGUGACGGUAUCUUAUCAGAAAGGGACGGCUAACUACGUG
rnacentral:rRNA from 1 species